UGGCCAUAUCAUGUUGACUCACUGAUUCCCAUACAAUCAUCAAAGUUAAGCAACGCUGAGCAUAGUCAGUACCUAGAUAAGUGACCACUUGGGAAUACCAGGUGCUGUAAG